CCGAAGCACGGACACACCAAGUCGAUCAGCUUUUCGCUUUACAAUCACGAUGAGACUAUGCCAGCCUUGUCAGAGGCACCAAAUUCACUUCCGAUGCACUGGAAACCAGGAAUUACGAUUAUUAAGGUUAAUUGUUGCGCAAUCUAGUAUUCAAUCUAAUCAAUAAAAUGAGUGCUAAUUACUAAAACAACGCGACUCUUGUGAUAGAUUGAACAUGUCCUUCCAUCGGAGGAAAACACAUUUCCCACCGGGCGCAUGUGUUUACAAACAAGUACAAUUAUUGGAGCGUUAUAGCUCAAAACAAUCUAGGCUGUAUGUCGCGAUCUAAAACAAGAUCAAUAAAAUGCUACAAACUGCAAACGCAGUUUGACACGUAUUCAGUGAUGUGGUCGCUCAGGUAUAUUAGGAAAUCCAUUCAUAUAUUUGGUCUCAUCACUGACCUGGCGAGAGCGAAGGCUACUUAUAAAGCGGACACUGGCACUUUAAAUGCAACUCGGGUCACUGGAAACACGCAAGUCUAUAUGCAAUUCAAAGACAAGACGAACGGAAGGAAUAUGAAGACAUGGUAAAGAUAAGUUCGGUAACAGCUGGGGGCGCUCUAAUGACCCCUGGGACUGUGUAAUAGCUCGCACACCACGCAAUGCGACCAUGUCUAUGAGCCUAUGAGGACAUCACUUAUACCAACCAGGGUGUUUGGUUUGCACCUGUUUGAGAACAUUAUGAGCACAAUUGCACCCAAACUUAUCUUCCAAACAGAGAUUUCUGACAGUGGACCAGUGGGAGGAGAGAGAAAUCUUGCCACCUCUCACCACCUGGCCUGAUAUGAUUCUAUGUGUGUGGAGUGUAGGACUCACUUCCAGGGAUCUUCAGCCCCCAGUGAGCUCAGCUAGCAGACAGUGUACAGCCCUCGCAGUGGAGAAGCUCGGACGUGUGUGGGGGUUUGUUCCUGCAUGUCUGUUGCUCAUCUGCUCAAUGCACAACAGGAGAUCUGGAGAAAGGAGAAGUUUAACUUGUUCCCUUGUGUCAUAUAUCUCAGAGUCUCCACUCCUUAGUGAUGUACAGGUGUAGAGAGUUUACAAGAAGGUCCUGGAAUCUUACAGUUCACCAAAGCUAGGGGUUAUAAAAUAAGAUUGUUAGGAAAAUAUUGAGAUUUUUUUUUUAACAUUUAUAAUUCAUCUUAUGUUGUCACCUUUUUAGGAAUUCUUUUGCUUUUAUGUACCAGAUGUUCUGUGCACUUAUGACUGUUUAUAAUAAAGAUUACUUUUAUGGUGCAUUA